rnacentral:rRNA from 1 species
AUUGAUCGCUGGCGUCAGGCUUAACACAUGCAAGUCGAACUAGUGUCGAACGGGUUAGUAAUAUAUUGGAACUUACCGAGUAAUGGGGGAUACCCAAUCGAAAGAUUGGCUAAUACCGCAUAUUAUUCGAGCGGCCUAUAUCUGAUUAGCUAGUUGGUGGGGUAAAGGCCUACCAAGGCGACGAUCAGUAGCGGGUCUGAGUGGAUGAUCCGCCACACUGGGACUGAGACGCGGCCCAGACUCCUACGGGAGGCAGAAGUGGGGAAUUUUGGACAAUGGGCGCAAGCCUGAUCCAGCCAUGCCGAGUGUCUGAAGAAGGCCUUCGGGUUGUAAAGGACUUUUGUUAGGGAAGCGGUACCUAAAGAAUAAGCACCGGCUAACUACGUGCCAGCAGCCGCGGUAAUAA